UAAGGCAGUGGUAGCGCUGAAGAAUAUUCGUGCAAUUGUCGUUAUUCAUUAUAAAAGGGCGGGUUUUAAAGGAUAUUUUAAAAUUUAAAACAAGCUUUUAAGAGCAGAUGGCGGAUGCCUUGCCAAAGAGAGGCGAUGAAGGACGUACUAGACUGCGAUAAGCUAUGCGGAGCUGUCAAGGAGCUUUGAUGCGUAGAUGUCCGAAUGGGGCAACCCAACUAAUAGAGAUAUUAGUUACUCUUUAAUAGAGAGCGAACCUAGUGAAGUGAAACAUCUCAGUAACUAGAGGAAAAGAAAUCAACGAGAUUCCCUAAGUAGUGGCGAGCGAACGGGGAAAAGGGCAAACCGAGUGCUUGCAUUCGGGGUUGAGGACUGCAACAUCCAAGAGAACGCUUUAGCAGAGUUACCUGGAAAGGUAAGCCAUAGAAAGUGAUAGCCUUGUAUGCGACAAGGCGUUCUUAGGUAGCAGUAUCCAGAGUAGGCCAGGACACGAGAAAUCCAGGUUGAAGCCGGGGAGACCACUCUCCAACCCUAAAUACUACUCUUUGAGCGAUAGCGAACAAGUACCGUGAGGGAAAGGUGAAAAGAACCGCAGUGAGCGGAGUGAAAUAGAACCUGAAACCAUCUGCUUACAAUCAUUCAGAGCCCUAUGAUUUAUCAGGGUGAUGGACUGCCUUUUGCAUAAUGAUCCUGCGAGUUGUGGUAUCUGGCAAGGUUAAGCGAAUGCGAAGCCGUAGCGAAAGCGAGUCUUAAUAGGGCGCUUAAGUCAGAUGCUGCAGACCCGAAGCUAAGUGAUCUAUCCAUGGCCAAGUUGAAACGCGUGUAAUAGCGCGUGGAGGACUGAACUCGUACCCAUUGAAACGGGUUGGGAUGAGCUGUGGAUAGGGGUGAAAGGCCAAACAAACUUAGUGAUAGCUGGUUCUCUUCGAAAUAUAUUUAGGUAUAGCCUCAAGUGAUAAUAAAAGGGGGUAGAGCCCUGAUUGGGCUAGGGCUGCUCGCCGCGGUACCAAACCCUAUCAAACUUCGAAUACCUUUUAUCGUAUCUUGGGAGUCAGGCGGUGGGUGAUAAAAUCAAUCGUCAAAAGGGGAACAACCCAGACUACCAAAUAAGGUCCCUAAGUUCUAUUCUGAGUGGAAAAAGAUGUGUGGCUACUCAAACAACCAGGAGGUUGGCUUAGAAGCAGCCAUCCUUUAAAGAAAGCGUAACAGCUCACUGGUCUAGUGGUCAUGCGCUGAAAAUAUAACGGGGCUAAGAUAGACACCGAAUUUGUAGAUUGUGUUAAACACAGUGGUAGAAGAGCGUUCAUACCAGCGUUGAAGGUAUACCGGUAAGGAGUGCUGGAGCGGUAUGAAGUGAGCAUGCAGGAAUGAGUAACGAUAAGAUAUAUGAGAAUUGUAUCCGCCGUAAAUCUAAGGUUUCCUACGCGAUGGUCGUCAUCGUAGGGUUAGUCGGGUCCUAAGCCGAGUCCGAAAGGGGUAGGUGAUGGCAAAUUGGUUAAUAUUCCAAUACCGACUAUGGAGCGUGAUGGGGGGACGCAUAGGGUUAAGCGAGCUAGCUGAUGGAAGCGCUAGUCUAAGGGCGUAGAUUGGAGGGAAGGCAAAUCCACCUCUGUAUUUGAAACCCAAACAGGCUCUUUGAGUCCUUUUAGGACAAAGGGAGAAUCGCUGAUACCGUCGUGCCAAGAAAAGCCUCUAAGCAUAUCCAUAGUCGUCCGUACCGCAAACCGACACAGGUAGAUGAGAUGAGUAUUCUAAGGCGCGUGAAAGAACUCUGGUUAAGGAACUCUGCAAACUAGCACCGUAAGUUCGCGAUAAGGUGUGCCGCAGCAAUGCGGUCUCAGCAAAGAGUCCCUCCCGACUGUUUACCAAAAACACAGCACUUUGCCAACUCGUAAGAGGAAGUAUAAGGUGUGACGCCUGCCCGGUGCUCGAAGGUUAAGAGGAUGCGUCAGUCGCAAGAUGAAGCGUUGAAUUGAAGCCCGAGUAAACGGCGGCCGUAACUAUAACGGUCCUAAGGUAGCGAAAUUCCUUGUCGGUUAAAUACCGACCUGCAUGAAUGGCGUAACGAGAUGGGAGCUGUCUCAACCAGAGAUUCAGUGAAAUUGUAGUGGAGGUGAAAAUUCCUCCUACCCGCGGCAAGACGGAAAGACCCCGUGGACCUUUACUACAACUUAGCACUGCUAAUGGGAAUAUCAUGCGCAGGAUAGGUGGGAGGCUUUGAAGUAAGGGCUUUGGCUCUUAUGGAGC
rnacentral:rRNA from 1 species